AUUGAACGCUGGCGGCAUGCCUUACACAUGCAAGUCGAACGGCAGCACGGAGCUUGCUCUGGUGGCGAGUGGCGAACGGGUGAGUAAUAUAUCGGAACGUACCCAAGAGUGGGGGAUAACGUAGCGAAAGUUACGCUAAUACCGCAUACGAUCUAAGGAUGAAAGCAGGGGACCGCAAGGCCUUGUGCUCCUGGAGCGGCCGAUAUCUGAUUAGCUAGUUGGUGGGGUAAAGGCCCACCAAGGCAUCGAUCAGUAGCUGGUCUGAGAGGACGACCAGCCACACUGGAACUGAGACACGGUCCAGACUCCUACGGGAGGCAGCAGUGGGGAAUUUUGGACAAUGGGGGCAACCCUGGUCCAGCAAUGCCGCGUGAGUGAAGAAGGCCUUCGGGUUGUAAAGCUCUUUUGUCAGGGAAGAAAAGGUUCGGGCUAAUAUCCUGGGCUCAUGACGGUACCUGAAGAAUAAGCACCGGCUAACUACGUGCCAGCAGCCGCCGCCG
rnacentral:rRNA from 1 species